CUCGCCUUCUGUCAGCGGUCCGGGGGCUCCCAGUUCUGGCAAUCCAACAUACAGCUCCUCCCAGUCCUCCGCAUAGGGACCUCGAUUGCGGUUGGAUCUGGCACCGCCACGCUGUUUUGGUUCGAUCGUUGGGCUGGGGACGCACCCUUCGCGGACCGCUUUCCUGGCUUGUUCGCCAUUGCGGUAGAGCCGCGGAUAUCUGUCGCAGUGGCCCUUAUUGACUUAGGGCAACUCGCGUUCCGGUGACCGUUCGGACCUGCGGAGACCGCCGAUUAGCAUGACUUGCUCGAUUGCAUCGUGCUGCACGAGCCUGACCUGGAUAUGGGUGAUGACCGCACCAGGUGGCGUCUAGUGCCAUCUGGCCAAUUCUCCACUAAAUCCCUAUACCACGCGAUCGCCCCCUCCCCGGGACCCGAGGCUCUCACCACCAUUUGGGAGAUCCGGCUCCCCUUGAAGAUCAGAAUAUUCUUGUGGCAAUGGAUCCGUGGCCACCUUCCGUCCGGCGUGGAGGUAUUGAAGCGCAACGGCCCUGGGGACGGGCGUUGCCCGCAAUGUGGGCUCGAAAAGGAUUCGAACCAUAUCUUCUUCACCUGUGUGUCCGCGCAGUUCCUCUGGAGCUAUUUCCGCGAAAUAGUGGGUGGUAGUUGGGACCACAACAACUUCCCCGCUCUCUUCGCCGAACUUCAGGCAUCACCACCCUCGUCUCGCCAUAUUAGGUGGCUGACCAUCGGUGUGCUAGCCUGGACGCUGUGGACUGUUAGGAAUAGGCUCUUGAUUCAGCGUAUACCUCUUCGUCGCGCUACUGACGCUCUGUUCAAAUGGUUUGGUUACUUGCAGCUUUGGCGGCCGCUUAGCCGUCCCAGGGAGAGAGACGCCAUCACAUCCAUCACCACCCAGCUUCGCGCGAUCGCUCUCCGGAUGGCUCCACCACUUCCCCCACCACCACCGGAGCCGGAUUAG
rnacentral:rRNA from 1 species